UGGGGAAUAUUGCGCAAUGGAGGCAACUCUGACGCAGCCAUGCCGCGUGUGUGAAGAAGGCCCUCGGGUUGUAAAGCACUUUCAAUUGGGAGAAAAAGCUUGUCGUUAAUAGCGGCAAGCCUUGAUGUUACCUUUAGAAGAAGCACCGGCUAACUCCGUGCCAGCAGCCGCGGUAAUACGGAGGGUGCGAGCGUUAAUCGGAAUUACUGGGCGUAAAGCGCGCGUAGGCGGUUGCUUAAGUCGGAUGUGAAAGCCCCGGGCUCAACCUGGGAACUGCAUUCGAUACUGGGCGACUAGAGUACGAGAGAGGGAGGUAGAAUUCCACGUGUAGCGGUGAAAUGCGUAGAUAUGUGGAGGAAUACCGGUGGCGAAGGCGGCCGUCCUGGCUCGAUACUGACGCUGAGGUGCGAAAA
rnacentral:rRNA from 1 species